rnacentral:misc_RNA from 1 species
GAGUUGUUAGAUUCAUUUGGAUUGCAUUCCUUCCUGUUCUAAAGCAAUACAAACUCUGCUGAGUUUCUUUUCAAAUUUUUUUAAAUUUUAAUUCCAUUUCAAAAUCCUAACUCUAUCAGUGUAUAAACUAGGAAUCACAAAGAGAGUUGCAGAUGCUUUGUUGCGGCAAGAAGAAGAGAUGGAACUUUAGGCUAUUACUAGACCAUUUUGGUUAGAGCUGGAAGAGAUUGAUGCAGCUGUUCAAUGAGAUUCCACUCUCCAGAAGAUAAUUUCCAAUCUGAAAUAGAAUACCAGUUCUCAUGGCCACUGUUCAUUAGUACAAAAUAGAUUAUUCUACAAAGGAAGAAUAGUGGUGACACCAGAUUCACCCUGGGAGCAAUAAUUGAUUUCAAAAUUCCAUUCACACCUCUAGGUGGACACUCGGGAGCUUAUAGGACAUAUCAACAUUUAGCAUUAAAUGUGUACUAGAAAUGAAUGGAACAUUUCAGUCUAAAACUUUGUGGCAAAGUGUCUAAUAUGCUAAAAGCACUAAUACAGAACUUUAUCUCCAACUGGAUUGCUACAACAGCUUCCCAUACCCAAGCUCUGACACUAAGUAUGCUAAGUCUGAGUCUCCCUCGUUCUUGAGGAAUUGAUUGUUUUCUGGUGGUGAUAGAUCGCUUAUGGAAGUAUGGACAUUUCUUGGGUAUGAAACACCCUCAUACAACCAAGAUGGUAGACAAAAUCAUCGCAAAGAAAAGAAUAAGAUUACAUGGCAUGCCGGGAUCUAUUAUGAACUAUGGAAACCCAUUGUUUCCCCAUAACUUUUGGGGAGAAUUGUUUUGGUUACAAGGUACCACAUUUAGAAUGAGCACAGAAUAUCACCCUGAAACAAAUGACCAAAUAGAAGUUCUUAACAGGGCACAGGAAACUUAUCUCCAAUGUUUUGCCUCAUGGCAACCUAAAAAGUGGAGCAAAUGGCCGUCAUGGGCACAAUAUUGGUAAAAUUUAAGUUUUCACACAGCAGCAGGGAUGACUCUAUUUGAAAUAGUGUAUGGUAGAACUCCUCCAACAUUGCAUCAAUAUUUAUUUACCCAGUAGAAACUAGGUGGAAGCAGUGGCACAAACAUUAGCUGAGAGAUACAAGAUACUCAAGCAACUGAAGUAUAAUUUAAGAAAGGCCUAGCAAUGAAUGGUGCGAGCAGCCAAUGUCCAUCAACGGGAAGUCCACUUUGAAGAAGGAGAAUCUUUAUUCGUUAAGCUAUGACCACAUAGACAACUUUCUGUUCACAACAAGGUAAAUCCAAAAUUAGCAGCAUGCUAUUAUGGUCCUUUUUGCAUCACAAAGAUGAUAGGACCUGCAGUCUCCUGCCUACAACUUCCACUAGAGGUCAAAUACAUCCAGUAUUUCAUGUGUCCCAGCUCAAGAGAGUAGUAGGUCAACAUGAAGCAAUAGCUGUACUAGCAAGAGCAUUGGAAGUAGAUGGAGAAUCAGUGGAACCAGAUGCAGUGAUAUAAAGGAGAACCAGAACAGUAGUGUAGCAAAGGUGGCCAGGAUAGGAGCCCUAACUUCAGUUACUGCAGCAAUUUAGAAGAGAAACAGAAGAAAGAAAGGGAUAGAAGAGAAGAGAAAGAAAUAGACAGAGAAAGGAAGAGAGAGAAAGAGAAGAGUUUAGAGGUUGAAGAGUCUUUAUUGAUUAGAAAUUCUAGAAUGAAUCCACAAUAGAGCUUCCAGCUCCUUUAAACAGUUACAACUCCUUCUCGAAAACUACAACUGUUGCAGCUCUAGUAACUGUUUUUCCGUCCUUUUCUUAACUACUUAACAGUUUCUAGUAACUAUUCAAACAACUCUUCCCUCUAACUGAUAACUACUUCCUGCUUUCUCUUAUUCUUAUAUUUCCUUUAUAUGUGAUACAGCUCAUUGAGAAGGCAACUUGGGUUGAUAAUAUAGACUUAGCUAAUCAAUUUCCUCACUUCAGCCUUGAGGACAAGGCUGCUUCUCAACAGGUAGGCAAUGAUAAGG